rnacentral:rRNA from 1 species
ACUGGGAUUAGAUACCCCACUAUGCUCAGCCGUAAAAUUUGAUAGGUCACCACGCCCCCUAUCCGCCAGGGUACUACGAGCGCCAGCUUAAAACCCAAAGGACUUGGCGGUGCCUUACGUCCAUCUAGAGGAGCCUGUUCUGUAACCGAUAAUCCUCGUUCAACCUCACCCCCCCUUGCAAAAUCAGCCUAUAUACCGCCGUCGUCAGCUCACCCUGUGAAGGAUCAAAAGUGAGCAAAAUUGGUAUGACCCAGAACGUCAGGUCGAGGUGUAGCUCACGGGAGGGGAAGUAAUGGGCUACACUUCCUAAAACAGGAGACACGAACAAUGAACUGAAACAAACAUUUGAAGGUGGAUUUAGCAGUAAGUAGAAACCAUCAUGUUCUGCUGAAAUUCUAUGGCACUUAGGCACGUACACACCGCCCGUCACCCUC